ACUGUCACGUUGAGGCGUGUUGUUUUCUCCAAGCCAGCGGACCCGCCCAAGGACAGCCUGGAUGGGGACAUGUGCCAUCCGAGCUGGACGGCUUUGAUGUCGUGGAGCUGCAUCCAGCUGGGAGCUUGUGACUUCACCUCUGGAAAAGCUGGAAGGUGAUUUCUAGUGUUUUCAAAAUACUGGGAAGCAGCAUGGGUCUUAGGUUUCACGGAAGAGAUUUCUCAUCAGGUCACUCAGGCUGAUGAAGCUUCCUCUCCAGCCAUCUCAGGAUUUAUUCAGAUUCUGAAGGAAAGUGAAGGGAAUGGAUGUUUGUACUGCAGACAACUGAGGAAAGGCUCGUGUAGAACUGGACUAUGGCCGGGCCUCUGACCCAACAGAUUACUUGCUCUGGGGGAGGUCAGCUGCCAUGCCAUGAAGACCCUUAAGCAACCUGUGGAAAGGGCCACAUGGACAGGGACGGAGGCCUCCUGCUGUGAUCUCAGCAAUGGAUCAUCCAGUCCAAUCGAGCCUUCAGAUGACUGAAGGCCCUGCCACAUUCCGACGGCAACCUCACCAGAGAUCCUAAGCCAAACCACCUAGCUAAGCUGUCCCUCAACUCCUGACCCGUAGAA